rnacentral:tRNA from 2 species
GCUGGGAUGGCACAGAUGGUAGCGCAGCUGAUUCGUAAUCAGCAGGCCGGGGGUUCGAGUCCCCCUCUCAGCUCCA